UACAGAGGGGGCAAGCGUUGUUCGGAAUUACUGGGCGUAAAGGGCGCGUAGGCGGCCUUCUAAGUCGAACGUGAAAUCCCCGGGCUCAACCCGGGAACUGCGUCCGAUACUGGAAGGCUUGAAUCCGGGAGAGGGAUGCGGAAUUCCAGGUGUAGCGGUGAAAUUCGUAGAUAUCAGGAGGAACACCGGUGGCGAAAGCGGCUUCCUGGCCCGACAUUGACGCUCAUGUACGAAAGCGUGGGGAGCAAACAGG
rnacentral:rRNA from 1 species